GAGUGGGACGGACGGUUGCGCCUGAAGCCUUACGGCUUGGUGAGGAAAGUCCGGGCUCCGCAGAGCGGGAUAACGGCUAACGGCCGCCGAGGGUGACCUUAAGGGAAAGUGCAACAGAGAUAUACCGCCUGCUUCGGCAGGUAAGGGUGGAAAGGCGAGGUAAGAGCUCACCGGCGCAACGGAGACGUCUGCGCCCUGUAAACCCUAUCCGGAGCAACACCGAGGGAAGUGGCUUGCUCGGCCUAUACUUCAAAAGGUGGCGUGAGCGCACGGGUAACCGCGCGCCAAGACAGAUGACCGUCUUAAAUGACAGAACCCGGCUUACAGUCCCACUCG
rnacentral:RNase_P_RNA from 1 species